rnacentral:rRNA from 1 species
AUUGAACGCUGGCGGCAGGCCUAACACAUGCAAGUCGAGCGGAUGAAGGGAGCUUGCUCCUGGAUUCAGCGGCGGACGGGUGAGUAAUGCCUAGGAAUCUGCCUGGUAGUGGGGGAUAACGUCCGGAAACGGGCGCUAAUACCGCAUACGUCCUGAGGGAGAAAGUGGGGGAUCUUCGGACCUCACGCUAUCAGAUGAGCCUAGGUCGGAUUAGCUAGUUGGUGGGGUAAAGGCCUACCAAGGCGACGAUCCGUAACUGGUCUGAGAGGAUGAUCAGUCACACUGGAACUGAGCCACGGUCCAGACGCCUACGGGAGGCAGCAGUGGGGAAUAUUGGGCAAUGGGCGAGAGCCUGAUCCAGCGAGGGCGCGUGUGUGAAGAAGGUCUUCGGAGUGUAAAGCACUUUAAGUUGGGAGGAAGGGCAGUAAGUUAAUACCUUGCUGUUUUGACGUUACCGACAGAAUAAGCACCGGCUAACUUCGUG